AUCGCUUCUCGGCCUUUUGGCUAAGAUCAAGUGUAGUAUCAGAGGCUUUAGUUUACUCAGUAAAGCAGAUGUGUUUUGCAAUUCUCAUGCAAUUCUCAUGCAAUUCUCAUGAUCCAGUGAACAUUGGCAGUUUGAUCUCUGGUUCCUCU
ensembl:snRNA U2 U2 spliceosomal RNA